GUUAUUAUAAUUAAUUAUUAACAUCCAACCUGGGCUGAAGAAACAGGUUGACCACUUUUUGCACACUAAAUUCUGCUUCCACACUGAUUCCAAAGGUCAUCUGCUUUUACUGGUUUCUCCUCAUUGCAUGUGGAAAGAGGUGCAGCAUUAUAAUGGAAAGACUUAACAACUAUAUAUGUAAAUAUAAGGGCUAUGUUUUUGUGAAAGGUGAAACCACAGCAGAGUACAUAGACUCUCUUCAGCUUUUUGAGAUACGUGACAGUGAUGUUUUUUUUUUUUUUUGUGACGUAUCCAAAGUCAGAUCGUGUAUGUUCUUAGAAAUCCAAAAGACAAUGCAGUGUCAUAUUAUCACUUCAGCCAUGUCUGGGCCUAGCUUGAGACACCCAGGAGCUUGAAGAAUUUCUGUAGCAGUAUCUAGCAGGAAAUGUUGGUGGAGGAUCUUGGUUUGAUCAUGUCUGAGAGUGGUACAGUAAAAGAGACCUUUUCCUGUCAUUUGAGGACAUGUUCAGGGUGAGUAAUCACAGCCUCAAAAUAUGUCAAAUGCAUUUGCAGGAUGUUCUUUAAUACAAAAUAUUUAGAGGUUUAAGCGUGUAGCACUGAAACCCUAUUAUAAUUGUUAGAAUGUCCAAGGAUCAGCAUCCUCCCCUAAAACUAAUCAGGCAAACAAAACUGUAAAUAGGGACUUGAAAUUUGGAAGGGUGCACUCUUAAAUAUAAAGGUGCUUCAUGAUACCAUGGUGUACAACAUGUUCCUGGAUCAACAUCC